rnacentral:lncRNA from 1 species
GCUCUACACAUUCGGGCCAUUCUGGGAAGAAGCCUUGUGUUGCUACACAGCCACAGAAGACCAGGGUCUCCUGUAAGAGCUGGCUCUCAUGAUGAUGAUGCUUACAGCUUCCAAUCUAUCAGGGUGACGACUGAAAGCCCUCACGACCUUCCAGGCCUGCCGCUGCUUCUUGCUAUGGUGUGCUCACCAAGGCUCAUGUAUGGGAUACUUGCUCUUAAGCAUGGUGGUUUGAGGUCCUCCAGGGGUGGAAGUCUGAAUAAGACCAGGUCCUCUCUACCCCUUGGCUUCCUGCCUCACCAUGGCAACUCUUCCUCUCAUUUGCAAUUUCAUCAUUGUGUGACACAAAGGACCUUCAUGAGAUACCAUGUCCCUCAAUACCCCAGACUAUGAGUUAAUUAAACCUCUUUUCUUUAUAAUGU